rnacentral:lncRNA from 10 species
CAAAUAUAUAUUGUUCACCAUCAGUCUCAUGCUCAGAGAGAGAUGUAUGUUGUAGAAAAUAAAUAAAUACAUAAAUACAGCAUAUCCCUUUAAGAUUUGGGCCUUCCUAGAACUUACUGAAUCACUAUGGUCCCCUCAAUCCCUUUGUGUUUCAGACACCUCUGUGGUGGCGCCUGGCACAACAGUUGCCCCUGGAAGUUUCAGCACAGGUGAGUCCACUGUGUGAUGGGGAAUCCCUUCAUGGGUGCUUGCCAUAAUGUCUUUGAGUGUUUCAAUGCAGAAGCAUCACCAUUCCAUUCCAUGCCCCCUGAAUCUUUUCUAUUCAUGUCCUUCCUCUGCCAGCAGCCACACCUUCUCCUGGAGCAAGUGGAAUGACUGGGGUUAGAACCACUUCGAAGACUACAACUUCCCUAGGUGGAAUUGGCACCACUAGAACUGAAAUAAAAUCAGGUAAAUAUGUUGUAGUAUUCAUUAUUUAUUGUUGUAUUUUGAUAGAUUUCUUAGAGGAAACAUUUUUUAACAAUGAGUUUUUAAGUUACAGAAAAUUUGCAUUGAUGAUGCAAAGAAUAAC